CUUUUACAUGAAGGAUGUAAGCAUGUGUUUAUAUCUAGUUUGAACAUAUUUAGGUAAUUUGCUUUAUAAAAACAAUCAAAGUCAACACCAUGUCUUAAAAGGUGUCUCUAUAAUUUCCAAGUUUGAAAAAUACUGCCCUGGGUCUGUUCCAUUGGGAUUCAGACAGAGAAAAAGCAAAUGUGUUUCCUCUUGGCUCAGAGCCCUAACUCCCCAUGUGCCAGAACUCUCCAGUAACAGGCUGGUGGACCCGAGCAAGAGGGCAGCCAUGACCUUGAGAGCAAAGACAGCCAAGCUAAUAGCUCCGCAGGCGGGCAGCUUCUCCAAUUUCACUCCAUUCCAAAGCUGUGAGCAUGGAAUUUAUUUUGUGAGAGUCACAGCGUGCUGGAGCCGGGAGGAACCUUCCAGAUCCCUCUGGGCUGGGCUGCUUAUCUCAACAGCAGCAGCCCCACAUCUCUGAGGCAGCAAAGCUAGAAGCUGUCGUUUCAAGGGCCUGCCUCAUUUCUCCUCCUGCCUCCGGUCUCCCCGACUUGGAUCGCCUGCCAGAGCCACCUUUCAACACAGUCAGACUCUAAGCAUGCUCCCUCCUGCUCAAAAUCCACCAAGGCUCCUCGCCCCUCCAGCAGCACUUCCUAAAUUACGACUCAACAUAUUCAUCUAAUAAUUUAAGCCAGCUGCGGGGCAACUGCAUCACCUGAUCAGAGGUGGUCAAUGCUGACAAGAGUCAUGAUAUGGAAGCUUGUUCAUUUGUUCAUUCAUUCACCCAUGCAUUCCUUUGCUCAUCAUUCACUUGUCUAUUCAAGCAACAUAUACUGAGCACCUACUACGUGCCUGCCAGACCCCAUGCUAGGGAUGAAGCACUGAGCAAGAAAUACAAGGCCCUAUUUCAUGGAGCUCACAUUGUAGUGGAGGAAGACAGAAAACAGGCGAGAACACCAGGGAUAAGUGAUGUGAUGGAGAAACAGGGCAAGGUGAGACAGAAUGUCAGAGGCCAGUUAAGACUUGUUAAUAUUGUUAACAGUAAUUUUUCCCAAAUUGUUAUACAAAUUCAGUGUAACCCCUAAGAAAAUCCCACUGCUUUUUAUGCAGACAUAGAAAAACUGAUUCUAUAAUUCAUCUGGAAUUUCAAGGGACCCUGAAUAGCCAGAAAAAUAUUGAAAAAGAACUAAGUUGGAAGAUACACACUUCCCAAUUUCAAAGCUUACCAUAGCUACAGUCAUCAAAACAGUGUGGUACUGGCGUCAGGAUAGGCAUAUGUAUUGAUGGAAUUGAAUUGGGAGGCCAGAAAUAAAUCAUACAUCAAUGCUCAAUUGAUUUUCAAUAGGCAUUAGAAGAGUAGUCAAUGAGGAAAGAAUACUCUUUCCAACAAAUGGUGUUUGGGCAACUAGAAAUUCACAUGCAAAUGAAUUAAUUUGUACCAAUACCUUACACCAUAUACAAAAAUUAACUAAAAAUACAUCAAACACCUAAAUAUAAGAGCUAAUGUUAUAUAACUCAGAAGAAAACUCAAGUGUAAUAAAUCUUCAUAACCUGGAUCAGGUAAUGGUUACUUAGCUAUGAUACCUAAGCACAAACAAUUAAAGAAAAUAUAGGUAAAUAGAUAAAAAUAUAUAAAUAUAAAAAUAGAUACGUUUUGAACUUCAUCAAAAUUAAUUUUGUGUAGCCCUA